rnacentral:lncRNA from 1 species
GGACAGCCUAAAGCAGCUGCCGGGGAUUUCUGGUAGAANUGGAAAGUGAAAGGGCUCCCGUGAAAAGAAUCUACCAUUUGCAACAGCACCUGAAGAGGCGAGCCAGAUCAGAGAGCCCCAUCUAGCCAGCUAUCAGUGCAGCAGGAAUUCUUAGGCUGAAAGCCAGGCAACAGAGUGUUCAAUCUGGUGAACAAGAAAAAAAANCAGCAAAAUCAGCAAGGCACACUGCAUGGAUGGACAGAAUUCGGACUGAUCAAAGAUUAAAGAAUAAUAAGCCGGGCAGCUAGUGGACAACCUUGAACUACAGAAUAAACUGGUUUCAUUUAAAAAAAAAAAAAAAAAG